rnacentral:RNase_P_RNA from 1 species
UCGAACAAUCGCGUAUGAAUCAUUCAUAUGAGGAAAGUCCGAACACCCGAGGGCAUGGCGGCGGAUAACGUCCGCCGGAGGCAACUCCAGGACAAGUGCCACAGAAAAGUAAACAACCGUAAACGGUUCAGGUGCAACGGCAGUGUAAAAGACUACCGGCGAUAUUGAGAGAUAUCGGACAGGUAAACUCCGCCAGGGUGCAAGAUUGAAUAAAGGUUAAGGUGACCCGCCAUCUUUGAAAAAUCGCUGGAGAUGUUUGGCAACAAACAUUCGAGACAGAUGAUUGUUUAGAAACAGAAUUCGGCUUAUGAGCUGCUC